UUUGCAGCGGGAGUCAAAGGCCCGGGUAGCUCUCCGCGUUGCAGCUGCCGGAGAACAGAAUCAAAAAGAGCUUCCGGAGG
ensembl:misc_RNA